UGGGGAAUCUUGGACAAUGGGGGCAACCCUGAUCCAGCCAUGCCGCGUGAGUGAUGAAGGCCUUAGGGUCGUAAAGCUCUUUCGCCUGUGAAGAUAAUGACGGUAGCAGGUAAAGAAACCCCGGCUAACUCCGUGCCAGCAGCCGCGGUAAUACGGAGGGGGUUAGCGUUGUUCGGAAUUACUGGGCGUAAAGCGCACGUAGGCGGACCAGAAAGUUGGGGGUGAAAUCCCGGGGGCUCAACCCCGGAACUGCCUCCAAAACUAUUGGUCUAGAGUUCGAGAGAGGUGAGUGGAAUUCCAAGUGUAGAGGUGAAAUUCGUAGAUAUUGGGAAGAACACCAGUGGCGAAGGCGGCUACCUGGACCGAUACUGACGCUGAGGCGCGAAAGCGUGGGGAGCAAACAGGAUUAGAUACCCCUGGUAGUCCACGCCGUAAAACGAUGUCUGCUAGUCGUUGGGGAGCAUAGCUCUUCGGUGACGCAGCUAACGCAUUAAAGCAGACCGCCUGGGGGAGUACGGCCGCAAGGUUAAAACU
rnacentral:rRNA from 1 species